rnacentral:rRNA from 1 species
UACGUAGGUGGCAAGCGUUAUCCGGAUUUAUUGGGCGUAAAGGGAACGCAGGCGGUCUUUUAAGUCUGAUGUGAAAGCCUUCGGCUUAACCGGAGUAGUGCAUUGGAAACUGGGAGACUUGAGUGCAGAAGAGGAGAGUGGAACUCCAUGUGUAGCGGUGAAAUGCGUAGAUAUAUGGAAGAACGCCAGUGGCGAAAGCGGCUCACUGGUCUGUAACUGACGCUGAGGUUCGAAAGCGUGGGUAGCAAACAGG